rnacentral:tRNA from 1 species
GCGAGAGUGGCGAAAUUGGCAAACGCACUGGACUUAGGAUCCAGCUCCUGUUUUGGGAUUGGGGGUUCAAGUCCCCCCUCUCGCACCA